rnacentral:rRNA from 1 species
AACGAACGCUGGCGGCGUGCCUAAUACAUGCAAGUCGAACGAGAAAGUGGCUUCGGUCAUGAGUACAGUGGCAGACGGGUGAGUAAUACAUAGGUAACCUACCUCCGAGAUGGGGACAACCUUCCGAAAGGAGGGCUAAUACCGAAUGAGACCACGGCUACAUACGUAGUCGCGGUUAAAGGUGGCCUCUACUUGUAAGCUAUCGCUUGGAGAUGGGCUUAUGCACCAUCAGCUAGUUGUGAGGUAACGGCUCACCAAGGCUUUGACGGUUAGCUGAUCUGAGAGGUUGAUCAGCCACACUGGAACUGAGACACGGUCCAGACUCCUACGGGAGCAG